rnacentral:rRNA from 1 species
UACGUAGGGUGCGAGCGUUAAUCGGAAUUACUGGGCGUAAAGCGUGCGCAGGCGGUUCGUUAAGUCAGAUGUGAAAGCCCCGGGCUCAACCUGGGAAUGGCGAUGGAUACUGGCUCGCUAGAGUGCGGUAGAGGAGAGUGGAAUUCCCGGUGUAGCAGUGAAAUGCGUAGAGAUCGGGAGGAACAUCAGUUGCGAAGGCGGCUCGUCGUGGGCCGG